rnacentral:rRNA from 1 species
UACGAAGGGGGCUAGCGUUGUUCGGAAUUACUGGGCGUAAAGCGCACGUAGGCGGACAUUUAAGUCAGGGGUGAAAUCCCGGAGCUCAACUCCGGAACUGCCUUUGAUACUGGGUGUCUUGAGUGUGGAAGAGGUGAGUGGAAUUCCGAGUGUAGAGGUGAAAUUCGUAGAUAUUCGGAAGAACACCAGUGGCGAAGGCGGCUCACUGGCCCGGUACUGACGCUCAGGUGCGAAAGCGUGGGGGAGCAAACAGG